UACGUAGGGGGCAAGCGUUGUCCGGAAUCAUUGGGCGUAAAGCGCGUGUAGGCGGCCAGAUAAGUCCGCUGUGAAAUCUCGAGGCUCAACUUCGAGCUGUCGGUGGAAACUGUCUGGCUAGAGUCCGGAAGAGGAGAAUGGAAUUCCUGGUGUAGCGGUGAAAUGCGCAGAUAUCAGGAAGAACACCAGUGGCGAAGGCGGCUUACUGGUCCGGUUCUGACGCUGAGGCGCGAAAGCGUGGGGAGCAAACAGG
rnacentral:rRNA from 1 species